GGAGACAGGUGCUGCAUGGCUGUCGUCAGCUCGUGUCGUGAGAUGUUGGGUUAAGUCCCGUAACGAGCGCAACCCUUGUCCUUAGUUACCAGCACGUUAUGGUGGGCACUCUAAGGAGACUGCCGGUGACAAACCGGAGGAAGGUGGGGAGUGACGUCAAGUCAUCAUGGCCCUUACGGCCUGGGCUACACACGUGCUACAAUGGUCGGUACAAAGGGUUGCCAAGCCGCGAGGUGGAGCUAAUCCCAUAAAACCGAUCGUAGUCCGGAUCGCAGUCUGCAACUCGACUGCGUGAAGUCGGAAUCGCUAGUAAUCGUGAAUCAGAAUGUCACGGUGAAUACGUUCCCGGGCCUU
rnacentral:rRNA from 1 species